rnacentral:sRNA from 1 species
GCCGGGUGUGGUGGCGCACACCUGUAAUCCCAGCUACUCCGGAGGCUGAGGCAGGAGAAUCACUUGAAUCCAGGAGGCAGAGGUUGCAGUGAGCCAAGACUGUACCACUGCACUCCAGCCUGGGUGAUAGAAAGAGACUCUGUCUCAA